CAAAUGUUUUCUCUACCCUGGAUCUUUUACUUCUCCUAGGUUCUGCUUCUACUUCUAUUUCUCUUGUCCUUAUUCUACUAGAGCUACUAGCUAUACCGCUAUCUACUCUAGUCUUAAGUGGAAAGGUGUCUUCAAAAUAUGUUGCAUCUCUGGCUUCUAUGAUAGUGUUGUUACUAAUAUCAUUUACUUCUGAACUUAUCACCAGAAAUCUAUUGGCAAUACUAUUGGCUGCAUAACCUAUGAAUAUGGCAUCCACUGUUUUAGGCCCUAUUUUCUUUCUCUUAAAAUCAGGUAUUUUUACUUUUGCCAAGCACCCCCACAC
rnacentral:lncRNA from 1 species